UUCUGGGUGGAGUGAGCUGAGCCUAGAAAAUAUCCGCACUGCCUCCUCUCCUUCCUCCCUCUCCUUUGCGCCGCCUUCCCAAUCCCCUCCUCCCGCACGAACCCCGGCAGAGAGAGAAGAUGAGAGAGAGAGAAGGAAGGAGAGGAGGGAGAAAGAGAGAGGGAAGAGGAGAGUGAGGUGUGGCGGCUGACGGGAGAGGGUCACCGGCCGGCGUCGGCCUGCGCCGGCGAGGUCGGGCGCGACCUGACGGUUGGCGGCGGCUCGACCCGUUCCUGGAUCGGGAGCUGCGAGGAGGCUGGGGCUCGUGCGCGAUGCACGGAAGGCUGCACCCCGCCUCCAUCUCCACGCGUGCAGCAGCGACCCCGGGAGGAGCUUGAGUCGCAGCGGUGGUCCACGGCGCCAUCGUCGGCAAGAGGAGCGUGGGCUGCAGAGACGGCCAGCUCCGUCCGGCUUUCGCGCUGCCGUCCAUCCACCCGAGAGAUCAGCCCCCACGUCCUUGCCUUCAUCCUCUCUCGCUGUCACGCACACUCUCUCCUCGGUCCUCUCACACACGCGCUCGUGGCCGGAUAUUUGACACGGGUUCUUGAGGAAAGCAGGGAUAGUAUGGAUAAAUUUGCACAGUUUGGACAGCAUCAGCGGGCAGAAGAGUUGUUCAAAUAGUAGCAGAUCACCAGCACGCGAACGACGAGAUCCAGGUCACGGGCAAUCCCCAUUCAGGUAAGCUUGCCUUCCAUUUGUGUUUUUUGUUUGAUGAAUUUUUUAUGGUUUCUUUGAUGAAUUACUCAUAUGUGAGGACAUUGCAGGUCAUGCACACAUUGAGUGAACAGAUUCAGUUCCCUUUUUUUAUCCCUUGGUAGUUCUCAUUGAAUCUUCAGUUAUGAAUAUCGUUGCAAUUAGCAAGCAACCCUGAUGGCAGAAGCUAGUUAGAUGCCUAGAUUGAUGUGUUCCGGUUCUAUUCUAUGCAGAUUCUGCACUCCAAUUAAUUGUUUUUCCGUUGUUACCCGUAUUCAAUCAAUAUGGUUCGGUGUACUAUUUUUAGCUUCAUAGAUGUAAGCACGCCUUUUCAUUGUUUUAGAAUGUUCAGAAGCGGUGCUCCCUCUAGCUCCCGUUACUGCUUAGCACCAGUUUUCGCUAGAGUAACUUCUUUUUUCCAAUCACGAGUUUGCAUGUCAGCAUGAUGUGCUUAAUAAGACAGUCGUACACAAGCUCGAGGUUUGUUAGAUGAAUUUUGCUUAUGUUGUGGCAUGCACUUUAGUGACCUAUAAUUUUAAGUUGCAAACUAUGCUAAAGAUUUUACCUUUCCUGUUAAAGGUCUGCCACAUAAUCAGGUUGUAUUUGUGUUCAUUGGUGUGGAUUUACAACUGUUAGUUCCUGACUCCUAAAUCUGAAAUUUAUUUGGUCCCUCCAUUUUUGUUCAAAUCUAUGUCAAUAAGAAACUCCACAAGGAAAUAGCAACCUUUGGGAUCGACCGGGCGCGUCAGUUACUUGAAGGGGACAGCAAGACACAUAGAAGAAAUAUAAAGCAUCAAGGUAGCAACCCGUUGGUGAUUUUUGGCUUAUUUGCGACUAAUUUGAUAGUUAAUGACAUUUGGUUAUGCAGUGGGAAAGGUAAAAAUUAAUGCAGCCAGUUUUUUUUACCGGAAAAUCUGUCAGUUUAUGUUCUCUUCUUGAUGGUAGUUAAUCCAUCAUACUACUAUUAUAUAUGUGCAUAAUCAUAUGUUGUAAUUGCAUCGGGAGGUGAAGAAACUCAAAUUUGUAGCCACUGUCAUGGUUGUAUGCAUGAUUCGCUUAGCAAUUGCAGAAGUCCUCCCAGUUCACGCUUUUGAUUUAUGAUGGAGACAUGUAUUUGCCUUAGACGACGAGGCCAUCGGCACAAUUGCACAACAUAGUUAGGCGUGAACAAGAUGUGUUCUUUAGUUCUUCGCUUCUUCCUUCUAGGGAUCGGUCCCAAAUUCGCUGGCCUAACCUUCCGUUGACGGGAUAUCUCAUAACUGAAACCAUGAACAACAAGUGCUUCGGUUCUGGUGGUUGCGAUCCAUUGCUUGAGGCGACAUCGUGUGCAAGAUUAUCCUUGUGGAGGCCGCUGGCACGGUGGCACCCUCCUCGACCUGCUGAUCCCAUUACCCAGUGCCUAAUUAAGUGACAAGAAGGCAAAAACAAAGCUGAAGCAUCAGAAUGUGCCGUCGAUCAAUAUUUUAGUUAAUAAACCAUGAAAUGGAAAAGUUUUGAUGAGGUGUGUACAGAGAAAAGGCAGCAUAAAGUUGGUCCAAAGAAAAUAGUGAAUAUUAACCUGGGAAGGGUGUGAAAAUUGAGCUGCAAGGAAAACUGGAGCAUCUUUUCUCUUUUUCUCUCAUGAAAAUUUAUAUACAAUGAGAAAGUUCAUGUUAGCAUGUGGCAUACAUCAUGAGGGAAGCUGCACUGAAUGAGAAGGGAAAUCCGAAACUGCAUGUCGAACCUUCAUCACUGCAUUCGCGCCAAAGUGAGCUCAAAUGAACCAUGGACUAUCAGUCAGUAUAAUAUCCAUAGGUUGCCUGUUGCGCCUAAAGGUUGGAUAUAUGGUGAUAUGGUAAUGCCGAUUUGGGAGAUUUGGGAAAGCAGGUGUACGGUGUGUGUAAAUUAAGAAAACAAUUUAUAAUUUGUGAUGUGAUCACUGCAUUUUAAUUUAGUAUAUGCGAUCCCCUCAAGUAGGGAAGUAUUGAAUGCA